AAAAGCAGAACUGUAGAAUUAUACUAUCUUCUAGAAGACUUUGCAUAUUCUAGAAGCAUUUCCUCCAUUCUGUUACAACGGCAUCAUUCCCUGCACAUCAUUCCAUUCUAUGAUUCUCUGACAUUUUCUGUUAUUCUUUCUGUCCUUUAUUCUGCUAUACAGCUGAGCUGGCAAAGAUAUUUUUCUUUUUCUUUCUUAGAUAGCAAGUGAACUUUGUGUAUAUAUAGAUACUAUUGUAAAGCUUUUCUGGUUGGUUUUUUGACCUCUAAAUUGUUCAUGGUAUCAGAGCACCAAGAUCAGGUGCCUGAAUAACCUUUUCUUUUGCUAUCAUGGCUGAUAGUGAUAACCCAACUAAUAGAACCAGUAAUGGAGAUCCUUUUCUCCUUCAAGGUUCUGAUCAUCCUGGUAUGGUUCUGGUAACAGCACCAUUAACAGGAAUUAAUUUUCUUACAUGGAGCAGAUCGAUGAAGAUUGCUUUGGGAGCAAAAAUGAAGCUGGGAUUUGUUAAUGGGAAGAUUCCUAUCCCUGAUGAAGAAAGUCUUGAAUUUGAAACUUGGACCAGAGUUAACUACAUGGUAACCUCCUGGAUCUUAAACUCCAUUUCUAAAGAGAUAGUUGAUGGUUUUCUCUAUAAAACUACUGCAAAGGAGCUAUGGGAUGAGAUAGCAGAGCGCUAUGGAGAAAGUAAUGGGCCUCUCCUAUAUCAACUUCAAAGAGAAAUUUCCUCAAUUUCACGAGGAAAUGCUUCUAGAAUAUGCAGAGUCUUCUAGAAGAUAGUAUAAUUCUACAUAUAGUAUAAUUCUACAAGAACAGCAACUUAACUCUUAACCCAGGACUUCCCAUCCAGAUUUCUGUCUACUCCUAACAGCUUUAGUCUUGAUCAGGCAGGAUUGGCAAAAGGUUGGUAGAUAUUGAAGGAGUUUUUAAGGAAAAAUUAAAUGAAUAGUUUUCGGAGACAGAGUCCAGGACAAGUAAACCAAGAUCAAGAAUCAAUUUACACUGGAUUUACAACAGCAGUAGCAGCAGCUGCAUUUGCUAUUCACUCACUUGAAGAAGCUGAAGCCCUUAAGAAUAAUAAGGAUGGCAACAAGAAAGGAGAUAGCAUAGCAAAAUUAUCACAUUCAAGUGAAGUUACCAACCGAUUCUCAUUCAAGAAAACAAAUAAUGGAGGUGAAAUUCUGAUGAGACAGUCAACAAUACAGAAUCAUGAGGCAUCAGAGAGGAUUAGUUCAGCCAGAAAACCAAUCAAUUCAUUAUCCGACAAACUCAAAGCCCCAGAAGGUGCUCAGAAGAAAGUUGAUAGGUGUGCAUUCAUCAAUUCUUGAGAAUGUUUAAUUUAUCAGAAUGAAGAAAAGUAUUAUGAAUACUCUACUGCAAGUUACUUCAGGGAUGACAAGCUGAAAACUCUUCUAGCUUGGGCAAAUGUAAAGAAGAUGAAAAACCAACAUAGCAAUCAAAGCAAAGAGGACUAAAUGCAGCAUCACAGGAAGGGCAAAGUAACAAUGCUAGAAUGGUAUCGGUAGCUUUAGACUUAUUAAGUGAAUGUAAUAAAAUGACAACAAUCUUCUUCUACCAUUCAAAAAGAUUGAAUCCUGCAACUUGCAAGGAGGAAAGUUAUUCUGAAUGUCUUUGUAUCAGUACCCCACAUAGAGAUCCACUCAUUGUCUGAUCUCAUCAGGUUCAACCCACACGAAAACUUUAUGGCCAUUUGCUGGGCCAUCCACCAUUAAUGUUGCCUCUGUAUUCAACCACAAGAAUAGCAAAUCCACCAACCAGGCAUUCCUGCAACACAGCCAUCUCAUUCUUGCCUUCACUAUCAAAUUCCAACACCACAACCCUCAUCUGAUAGGAUAUCUACUGCCCCUCACUGUCAACUGCUGCAAAUUGUUGACUUAUAGAUAUUCAAAUAAUUCAUUUACUAUAAAAUUUAUUAUGGUCCUAAAUUGAGUAAAAUAAGAAAAAUAAUCUAC